CUCGGGGAGCUAACUUGUUAACUUGUGGGGAGCUUCGGAACCGUGGGCCGGCCUGAGGUUAGGGAUCCGGGAAGCUGCUGUGUCCGCUGAUCUGAGGAGGGUCUAAGGCUCGGCGUGGGCGUCAUCUAGCCUGACUCCGUCUCGGGGCCGGGACAGGGGCCACCGUGCUCGGGACCCUCAUUCACCCAUACACUCCGCUGUUGGCGGCGGAGCUGAUGGGUCCAAUCCAGAUGGGAAUUAACGUUACAUGGCCCUGCUCAUCCCACAGACUCCACAUUCAGCAGAACCACUUAUGGACCCUGCACUGGGCCCUGUGACCUUUGAGGACAUGGCUGUGUACUUUUCCCAGGAGGAAUGGAGGCUUCUUGGUGAGGCCCAGAGACUCCUGUACCAUGGCGUGACGCUGGAGACUUUUGCACUUGUUGCAUCAUUG